rnacentral:rRNA from 1 species
UUAAAUUGAAGAGUUUGAUCAUGGCUCAGAUUGAACGCUGGCGGCAGGCCUAACACAUGCAAGUCGAACGGUAACAGGAAGAAGCUUGCUUCUUUGCUGACGAGUGGCGGACGGGUGAGUAAUGUCUGGGAAACUGCCUGAUGGAGGGGGAUAACUAC